rnacentral:rRNA from 1 species
CCUACGGGGGGCAGCAGUGGGGAAUAUUGGACAAUGGACCAAAAGUCUGAUCCAGCAAUUCUGUGUGCACGAUGACGUUUUUCGGAAUGUAAAGUGCUUUCAGUUGGGAAGAAAAAAAUGACGGUACCAACAGAAGAAGUGACGGCUAAAUACGUGCCAGCAGCCGCGGUAAUACGUAUGUCACAAGCGUUAUCCGGAUUUAUUGGGCGUAAAGCGCGUCUAGGUGGUUAUGUAAGUCUGAUGUGAAAAUGCAGGGCUCAACUCUGUAUUGCGUUGGAAACUGCAUGACUAGAGUACUGGAGAGGUAAGCGGAACUACAAGUGUAGAGGUGAAAUUCGUAGAUAUUUGUAGGAAUGCCGAUGGGGAAGCCAGCUUACUGGACAGAUACUGACGCUAAAGCGCGAAAGCGUGGGUAGCAAACAGGAUUAGAUACCCGAGUAGUCCU